rnacentral:rRNA from 1 species
UAGGGAAUCUUCCACAAUGGACAAAAGUCUGAUGGAGCAACGCCGCGUGAGUGAAGAAGGGUUUCGGCUCGUAAAACUCUGUUGUUAAAGAAGAACAUAUCUGAGAGUAACUGUUCAGGUAUUGACGGUAUUUAACCAGAAAGCCACGGCUAACUACGUGCCAG